GACCUUCUAAGCUGACUUUAGAAAUUGCACUGUCCCAUGUCCCUAUUCUUCAUUGUUAUUUUGGACUGCCAGCAGACAAGGGAGACAGGGACAGUGAACUGCUCAGGGGCCAGUUUGCCAUCAUGCUGGUAGACUAAUUUCUAUCUUGACUGCAAGCAGUUUCUGCCCUUUCUCCCAGAAAUAAAUUCUCAGUAUGCUCAAGAUCUCAACUUCUGCCCAUUCUUUAAGGUUGGACAAAAAUAUUUUGCUUGUUUUUCUGUCUCAGUACAAUGUACUUUCUAAGUCUUAACUACUUUUGGCUCAGAGUUCUAUGUGCAAGAGAGGGCUGCUUCCACCAGGUCAGAGUACCCUUAACAAAAACUUCUCUUGAUAGGAAUCUGUUGUACCUGACACAUUAUAGACAUGGAUGAAGGAACAGGCAAUUCCUUUUUCCUAACUUAGAUCAGCUCCUCACUUGUGCUAAACAUCAAGCUUUGAUGCAAGACUAAGAAGCUACUUGAACAAGCCAAGCUCAUCAAUAAAGAAAUACAGGCUCCUCUGGAGAGUGAUCAGUGCAUUCUGUCAGAUACACAAGGACCUCUAGCUUGGUCAGACUUUGGUACAAGUUCAGGAUCUGGAGGCUGUAGAAUAUCUUUGGAGGAUAAAAGUGACUGGGUUACAGGGUUUUUGCUAAGGUACCAACAGAAUAAGCCACGCAGUUCAAGGAGCACACGAGGGUGGAAUAUUUGCACUGUGUAUGCUGCGAGAUGGCACACUGGUAUCAGGAGGUGGAAAAGACCGAAAGCUGAUAUCUUGGAAUGGAAAUUACCAAAAAAUUCACAAAA